rnacentral:misc_RNA from 1 species
GAUGAAGAACGUAGCGAAAUGCGAUAAGUAGUGUGAAUUGCAGAAUUCAGUGAAUCAUCGAAUCUUUGAACGCACAUUGCGCCCCUCGGUAUUCCGUGGGGCAUGCCUGUUCGAGCGUCAUUUACCCCUCAAGCACUGCUUGGUGUUGGGCGUCUGUCCCGCUUCGCGCGCGGACUCGCCCCAAAGGUAUUGGCAGCGGUCGUGCCAGCUUCUCGCGCAGCACAUUGCGCUUCUCGAGGCGGUCGAUCGGCGUCCACGAAGCUCACCUCCACCGUUUGACCUCGGAUCAGGUAGGACUACCCGCUGAACUUAAGCAUAUCAAUAAGCGGAGGA